CCUACGGGAGGCAGCAGUGGGGGAUAUUGCACAAUGGGGGGAACCCUGAUGCAGCGACGCCGCGUGGGUGAAGAAGCGCCUCGGCGCGUAAAGCCCUGUCAGCAGGGAAGAAAAUGACGGUACCUGACGAAGAAGCCCCGGCUAACUACGUGCCAGCAGCCGCGGUAAUACGUAGGGGGCAAGCGUUAUCCGGAUUUACUGGGUGUAAAGGGGGCGCAGACGGCAAUGCAAGCCAGGAGGGAAAGCCCGGGGCCCAACCCCGGGACUGCUCUGGGAACUGCGUGGCUGGAGUGCAGGAGGGGCAGGCGGAAUUCCUGGUGUAGCGGUGAAAUGCGUAGAUAUCAGGAGGAACACCGGUGGCGAAGGCGGCCUGCUGGACUGCAACUGACGUUGAGGCCCGAAAGCGUGGGGAGCAAACAGGAUUAGAUACCCCGGUAGUC
rnacentral:rRNA from 1 species